UUCCAGACUCCUACGGGAGGCAGCAGUGAGGAAUAUUGGUCAAUGGGCUUACGCCUGAACCAGCCAAGUCGCGUGAGGGAAGACUGCCCUAUGGGUUGUAAACUUAUUUUGUCAGGGAGCAAUUGGGUCCACGCGUGGGCUUAGCGAGAGUACCUGAAGAAAAAGCAUCGGCUAACUCCGUGCCAGCAGCCGCGGUAAUACGGAGGAUGCGAGCGUUAUCCGGAUUUAUUGGGUUUAAAGGGUGCGUAGGCGGAAUAUCAAGUCAGCGGUAAAAAUUCGGGGCUCAACCCCGUCGUGCCGUUGAAACUGAUGUUCUUGAGUGGGCGAGAAGUAUGCGGAAUGCGUGGUGUAGCGGUGAAAUGCAUAGAUAUCACGCAGAACUCCGAUUGCGAAGGCAGCAUACCGGCGCCCAACUGACGCUGAAGCACGAAAGCGUGGGUAUCGAACAGGAUUAGAUACCCGAGUA
rnacentral:rRNA from 1 species